rnacentral:rRNA from 1 species
AUUGAACGCUGGCGGCAUGCUUUACACAUGCAAGUCGAACGGUAACAGGCCGCAAGGUGCUGACGAGUGGCGAACGGGUGAGUAAUGCAUCGGAACGUGCCCAGUCGUGGGGGAUAACGCAGCGAAAGCUGCGCUAAUACCGCAUACGAUCUCUGGAUGAAAGCGGGGGACCGAAAGGCCUCGCGCGAUUGGAGCGGCCGAUGUCAGAUUAGGUAGUUGGUGGGGUAAAGGCGCACCAAGCCAACGAUCUGUAGCUGGUCUGAAAGGACGACCAGCCACACUGGGACUGAGACACGGCCCAGACUCCUACGGGAGGCAGCAGUGGGGAAUUUUGGACAAUGGGCGCAAGCCUGAUCCAGCAAUGCCGCGUGCAGGAAGAAGGCCUUCGGGUUGUAAACUGCUUUUGUACGGAACGAAACGGUCCUGGUUAAUACCUGGGGCUAAUGACGGUACCGUAAGAAUAAGCACCGGCUAACUACGUGCCAGCCGCCGCAGUAA